AAAUAAAGUGCGAAAACUUACAUAAUUCCCAUUCACGUUUCCUUCAAAAAAGUAUGGUCCGACAAUUUGACAACCUCCGAAGAGACCUGCCCAAACGGUGACCUUUUCCGAAUUGCAAUUCCGUUUGAAAUUAAAGUUCGCAGGAGGUUGAUUUUUAGGCGCGUAUGAUCGGACAUUCCAAGUAUUGACUUUCCCAUCCAUCUUAAAAGCAGGUUCAUCGCCAAUAAGGAGAUCACGAUCACGAGAUCUUGCCGUGCGUGCCAAUUGCAGAAGUCAACACGUCGCUGCUAAUCACGAGGAAAUAACUGGUUUGAAUGUUCAUUCGAAACGGAUAAAAAUUUAAAUCAUGUUUACUGAAUCGAUUGAAACUUAACUUUGUUAUUUGGGGAAUAUUGUUUCACCGAGCACCCGCUUCUGGGUUAUCACUAAGUUUGCGCUGAACUGCAUCAAUAUUCGUUUGUGUUCUGGCUGAUUUGGGUCUUCCCGAAUUACCUUUGUUGCGGUUGUGGCUUGUCCCGUGGUUUUGGUAUUUUAGAAAUUGCUCAAGAUUGUUCUUCUGGUAGGAGGAAUCGUCUUACAAAGGCUUCUAUUGUUCUCGCUGGACUUCCUGUUUCGUGGUAUAAUAGCACCAUAAGCGUUCUUUCCUCGGGUGUAAAUUGUUGUCCAAGCAUCGUUGCAGAAUGAAGGAUAAAACGAAAUUUAACAACCUUGAUGCAUACCCACAUUCUCGUGCACGUUGUUUUCCUUAUGAAAUCAAUUCCAUGGGGACAAUGCUUCAAUACACUGAAGCGUUGUGAGUGAAAAAGAAUACUUAGGCCAAACAUUUUGGAGUAAAAACUAUUGAGCCGUGAAAAUAUCUUAAAGUUUACUGUCUGUUAAUUCUGUUGUAAAUGCAAAUGUCCAAUUUUGAACAACUAUGAAAUCGGACUAACAAUCUUGGACACACCGAUAGAGCCGAACUAGUCGCAACUGAACUAUUAAUACUAUACUUAUUUUUUAAAACACUUUGGUCGUCCUUACGGAAAGCUUCUGCCGACAGUUUGACAGGGGACAUUUUUUUAGACACUCUGUAUUGCAUAUGUCUUCUUUUUAAAGUUAUUUCUCACAAUUUUUGUCCGACUUCAUUUUAACUGGGAGAGGGGCUGCCCUGUACGCCUAUGUUGACAAAUUUUGAAGUAAAAAUUAAAACAUUAUUUUAGACGAAAAUUGGAAGAA
rnacentral:lncRNA from 1 species